GUAUGAUCGAGAAAUAAGCUCAAAUGUAAAAGAAGCCCACUUCAUCGUCUUUCCGGAAUUCUAACACCCAGCAUGUCAGCAUCAACCGAAUAACAAACCAAAACAAUUAAACAACCACAAAUCAACAAUAGCUGAAUAGAGGAGAAUAGAAAGAGAGGAGAGAAAGGUGAAGCCUUACUGGUACUGAAAUGUGCAAAUAGGCUUACUGCAUUAUGCAAGAGAUAAGGAGUAAUUAUCUUCUAAGGAUGAGAAAUAUGGAAGAGAAUGAUGCAUGGUUCCUUCUACUCCCUGGAAGUCCAUGAUGACACCUCCACAAGAAAUUUCGGAGUGGGACAUGUUGGUGUUUAGGACGUUUAUAUUAUUAUCACGGUGUAUGGUUGGAUUCAUUGUUUUCUGAGGAACUUAUGUUGUAUUUUGCUUUUGGAUUCUCCCAUUGGGGGCACUUUAUAUUGUAUUCCUAUUAAGUA